CACACACACACACCACACACACCACACACACACACACACACACCACACACACACACACACACACACACACACACACACACACACACACACACACACACACACACACACACACACACACACACACACACACACACACACACACACACACACACACACACACACACACACACACACACACACACUUCCCCGGCGAGCUUAGGUGUGUGCAAGUCAUAGCACAGGUACAGGUAAUCACGAAAUUCACUUUUCCAGAGCGAAGGGCGAUACAUGUAUGCCUGCUUGUGGCGUGCGUUUCGGCUACGAGAGCAGGAGCAGCGAAAGCAGGUUUUGGAUUGAUCCGGCCAUACCAUAGUCAGCGUUCCAGGCGGUUACACAUGACCUCCUCGCCAGCAAACAUGCGCUGGUGGCCAAACAACUACUUGUUCCGCCUGACCAACUAGAUCAGUUUCGCAGCGCUUGACGUGUCGAACAUCUUCUACCAGCUGUUCCUGGAGUUCGUCGACACUUUGCUUGGCGGCUGAACGAUGACACAUUGACUUUGAGUUUGAUGGGGUGAGUCUUAUCGUCGUAUCGUUUGCACCAGGGGCUGCGAGAUGCUGAGGGACUGGGAAUGUUGCGCGGCUAAGCCCCCUUCCAGACAUGGAAAGGUGAGAACGCAGUGCUCGGACAUCGGAGAGCUCGGCAUGGCCGCAUUCUCCAGCCAUUACUCUGGAUGAGGCAGUGCGAAGGUCAUCCAGCACAACAGUGGCAUGGAUUCAGGUUUGGAGAUUUAAUUACUUCAAUUUUUUGCAUUGAGCACGCUAUCGAACCGGAGGACUCCGCUCUCUGCACGU